CGUCUAUAUACGUAUAGCAUAUCAAUAAGCGGAGGAAAAGAAACUAACUAGGAUUCCCUUAGUAACGGCGAGUGAAGCGGGAAGAGCUCAAAUUUGAAAUCUUCAAGGUUUUACCUUGACGAAUUGUAGUUUAUAGAAGUGUUUUCUGUUAGUGGAGUUUGGUAAAAGUUCUUUGGAAUAGGACAUCAUAGAGGGUGAGAAUCCCGUAUUUGAUCAUUAUUCCCUAGCUGUGUGAUACACUUUCAAAGAGUCGGAUUGUUUGGGAAUGCAGUCCAAAAUGGGUGGUAAAUUUCAUCUAAAGCUAGAUAUUGGCGAGAGACCGAUAGCGAACAAGUACCGUGAGGGAAAGAUGAAAAGAACUUUGAAAAGAGAGUUAAACAGUACGUGAAAUUGUCAAAAGGGAAGCGUUUGACACCAGUGUUGUUUUUCCGAAAAUCAAUUACGAAUGUUUUGUUUUUGAGGAGUUAUGACUUCAUCGGCUUGCUCCUUUCUUUAUGAAACUUUCUUAAUGCACUUUUCGGUUAACAAGUCAACAUCAAUUUCUUUUGUCGUAAAAGGGUAUGAGGAAGGUGGCUUUCUUUUCGGAGAAAGUGUUUAUAGCCUUGUGCCUCUGCAAUCGGAGAGAUUGAGGUCUGCAGCGUAGAUCCUUCGGGGUUAGAUACAGUUUGUGCUAAGUUAUAGCUUUUCAUAGACAACUUGUUGACUAUGUUUAGUCUUGUAGCUUACUCGCUUAUGCUAUUUUACCUACGCUUAGGAUGUUGACGAGACUGUCGAUCUC
rnacentral:rRNA from 1 species